UACCGCAUAAGCGCACGGUAUCGCAUGAUACAGUGUAGAAAAACUCCGGUGGUAUAAGAUGGACCCGCGUCUGAUUAGCUUGUUGGUGAGGUAACGGCCCACCAAGGCGACGAUCAGUAGCCGGCCUGAGAGGGUGAACGGCCACAUUGGGACUGAGACACGGCCCAAACUCCUACGGGGAGGCAGCAGUGGGGAAUAUUGCACAAUGGGGGAAACCCUGAUGCAGCGACGCCGCGUGAGUGAUGAAGUAUUUCGGUAUGUAAAACUCUAUCAGCAGGGAAGAUAAUGACGGUACCUGACUAAGAAGCACCGGCUAAAUACGUG
rnacentral:rRNA from 1 species